CAUGCCUUGAGUGUAGGACUGUGGGCAUCUUAAUUACCCUCCCACACCCAAGGCUUGCA
rnacentral:pre_miRNA from 1 species